rnacentral:rRNA from 1 species
GGGACACCCGUCCGAAAGGAUGGCUAAUACCGCAUAAGUCCUGAGGGUGAAAGCCGGGGACCGCAAGGCCCGGCGCAGACGGAGCGGCCGAUGAUUGAUUAGCUAGUUGGGGAGGUAAAGGCUCACCAAGGCGACGAUCAAUAGCUGGUCUGAGAGGACGACCAGCCACACUGGAACUGAGACACGGUCCAGACUCCUACGGGAGGCAGCAGUGGGGAAUUUUGGACAAUGGGGGCAACCCUGAUCCAGCCAUGCCGCGUGCGGGAAGAAGGCCUUCGGGUUGUAAACCGCUUUUGUCAGGGACGAAAAGCUCCGGAGUAAUAUGCCGGAGUGCUGACGGUACCUGAAGAAUAAGCACCGGCUAACUACGUGCCAGCAGCCGCGGUAAUACGUAGGGUGCAAGCGUUAAUCGGAAUUACUGGGCGUAAAGCGUGCGCAGGCGGUUGGGUAAGACAGAUGUGAAAUCCCCGGGCUUAACCUGGGAACUGCAUUUGUGACUGUCCGACUGGAGUACGUCAGAGGGGGGUGGAAUUCCACGUGUAGCAGUGAAAUGCGUAGAUAUGUGGAAGAACAUCGAUGGCGAAGGCAGCCCCCUGGGACGCAACUGACGCUCAUGCACGAAAGCGUGGGGAGCAAACAGGAUUAGAUACCCUGGUAGUCCACGCCCUAA